rnacentral:rRNA from 1 species
CAGUAGCCGCGGUAAUACGAAGGGGGCUAGCGUUGCUCGGAAUUACUGGGCGUAAAGGGAGCGUAGGCGGAUCGUUAAGUUGGGGGUGAAAGCCCGGGGCUCAACCUCGGAACUGCCUUCAAUACUGGCGAUCUUGAGUAUGAGAGAGGUGUGUGGAACUCCGAGUGUAGAGGUGAAAUUCGUAGAUAUUCGGAAGAACACCAGUGGCGAAGGCGACACACUGGCUCAUUACUGACGCUGAGGCUCGAAAGCGUGGGGAGCAAACAGGAUUAGAUACCCCCGUAGUCCCUGUCUCUUAUAA